rnacentral:tRNA from 4 species
GCCCGGCUAGCUCAAUUGGCAGAGCGUGUGACUUUUAUAUGUUCAUCGGAUUCCGACGGAUGUUCAUCGAAUGUUCCAUUCGUGUUCCAUAUCUUGAAAUCACAAGGUUCGGGGUUCGACCCCCCGGUCGGGCA